rnacentral:misc_RNA from 1 species
UCUUUUUGAGCCUAACUAUCUGACAUUGUGGUAUUAAUGAAAAAAAUGAUUGGGUUUAAAGAUGAUGCCCCUCUGAGUCUUUAGGAGGAGGAGGAAGAGGUAUCGACCCAAACUUUUUAUCAACUCUUUUUUACUAUUUGACUGAAUAUCAAGUAAAUUAAUCCAAUCUUUGGGUUAAAAAAAGUUUUAAAUAACUUUCAACAACGGAUCUCUUGGUUCUCGCAUCGAUGAAGAACGCAGCGAAAUGCGAUACGUAAUGUGAAUUGCAGAUUGUGAAUCAUCGAAUCUUUGAACGCAUAUUGCACUCUUUGGUAUUCCGAGGAGUAUGCUUGUUUCAGUAUCAUGAAAAUCUCACAAAUGAACCAUUUUUUUUGUUUCAGCUUGUGGACUUGGAUUUGCGAUCAAACAAGAUUGCUAAUCUGAAAUGAAUUUCAUGAAGCUUAACAUGCUUUGAAUCUUU